CACUGAGGAGAAACAGGACAGAACAAUGUCACCCUGGCUGCUGGGACAUGAGCUCCUCCCUGGCACUCACUUGGUGACACGGAAGCUACUACUGCUGGAAUGCAGCAGGUCCCCACGUGCCUGGAUCUUCUUGCCAUACAGGCGCUCCCGCAGCUCACUGAUCCGCUUAUCCAUCAUGGCCACUUCCAUGUUGCGCUUGUUCAAGAGCUCCUUCUGCUGCUGGAGCUUGGAAUUCUGCUCCUGAUUAAGCUGGUUACGAAUCUGCAAAGCAGAAGAUAUAAAUUAACAGUUGCGUUAACUACAACUGUUAGGUGUCCAGUAGGUGAAUCAAUAAGUGUUGUGUCUCUUUAGGGCCAGUCUGCCCUGGCCACAGCGUGGUGGCCACUCAUACAGCUGCAAGGAAUUCACACUACAUAAAUCCAAACAACAAAGACAUUUUAAAAAGUGUAAUCUCCACAAAAUAGACCGGGACAUUCCAGAAAGCCCCUGGUCAGGAGCUUUCAGGAACUUCAUGUGGAGAUGCACACCUUU